AGCCAAUUAAACUACCCUUUCAUGAUUGGGGUCCAGGGUUGGUUUAAUUAAUUAAGCCUCUUGGGGUUUUGUCAUGGCCUUGUAAAUAUUCCAUGUGUAAUUCCCGAAAUAGCACCCCAUCCCCUAUGUAGUGCAAUAGCUUUGAUCAUGGCCUUAUGUGCCCUGGUCAAAAGUAGUGCANNNNNNNNNNAGACAACCCAGGCCCACCAGACCCCUGCAAUCGGCACAGGUGACCACAUAUCCCAUGUAUUGGUUUUCUUUCUGAUAUUUACUCGUGCUUGAUUAAGUUUGCCUGGUGCAACGGAAGCAACAGAAUAGUCCCAAACAGCCCAUUCUGCACAAUUCAGGUCGGCUCAAUCAAACAGGGAAAAAAAAUAUUCGGAGAAGAUAAAAACCCCAAAAAGAAACAUCGGAACCCAGGUCUGCUGACGACCAGCUGUUGUCUCCCUCCAGUAAUCUGUGGAAGGAGAGUUCCAGAGGACUACAGUGGAGCCUGGCUCACUUCACCUCAGAACUGGUCACCUUCAGAUCCACCUGGACACGACACACAGAAGACAACAAGUUCAAAUGGAAGGAGAGCGGCUCUAAUGGAAUCUUGGAUCAGAACGUGACGAAGGAGCCGCCGACUGGGGGAGAGGAACUGUUCUAACGUUGUAAUGAUGCUCAACAGCGGAGAGGCCCUCUUGUGUAGUACGAUGCCAAUGGAAACCAUAUGGAAAUCAUAGUCAUUUAAUGAGGGUUGAAAUAAACAUGCUNNNNNNNNNNCCAAUUUGGGAUGCAGGUAGUAUUUCUCUUUCAUCUCCAUGAAGCCCGAGGAGAGGUAGUAGAGACAUUUAAAAGAUGUAGGCAUGGUUCUUCUUCCAGUCCUCUGUAGCUCAGUCAUAUUUUUAUAUUCCAUUGCUUUCCCCUCUCAGGAAUCUUGGAUCAGAACGUGACGAAGGAGCCGCCGACUGGGGGAGAGGAACUGUUCUAACGUUGUAAUGAUGCUCAACAGCGGAGAGGCCCUCUUGUGUAGUACGAUGCCAAUGGAAACCAUAUGGAAAUCAUAGUCAUUUAAUGAGGGUUGAAAUAA
rnacentral:lncRNA from 13 species